rnacentral:ncRNA from 2 species
AAGAGGGAAUCCGGUGAGACUCCGGAGCUGACCCGCAGCGGUAUGUCGGAACGACCGCCGUCACACGCACUGGGACCGCCCCGCCCGAGCCACGGCUCACCGGCGGCGGCGCCUGGGAAGCGACGGCCAGUAGAAGCGGGCUCCAUUCCUGGCCCGCGCGCCGACGAGCCCGAAGACCU